AUUGAACGCUGGCGGCAUGCUUUACACAUGCAAGUCGAACGGCAGCGCGGGCUUCGGCCUGGCGGCGAGUGGCGAACGGGUGAGUAAUGCAUCGGAACGUGCCCAGUAGUGGGGGAUAGCCCGGCGAAAGCCGGAUUAAUACCGCAUACGACCUGAGGGUGAAAGCGGGGGACCGAAAGGCCUCGCGCUAUUGGAGCGGCCGAUGUCGGAUUAGCUAGUUGGUGGGGUAAAGGCUUACCAAGGCGACGAUCCGUAGCUGGUCUGAGAGGACGACCAGCCACACUGGGACUGAGACACGGCCCAGACUCCUACGGGAGGCAGCAGUGGGGAAUUUUCGACAAUGGGGGCAACCCUGAUCCAGCCAUGCCGCGUGCGGGAAGAAGGCCUUCGGGUUGUAAACCGCUUUUGUUCGGGAAGAAAUCCUCUGGGCUAAUACCCCGGGGGGAUGACGGUACCGGAAGAAUAAGCACCGGCUAACUACGUG
rnacentral:rRNA from 1 species